UGAACAUACCUAUUUGUUGCCUCGGCGGUGCCUGUUCCGACAGCCCGCCAGAGGACCCCAAACCCUGAUUACAUUUAAGAAGUCUUCUGAGUAAACCGAUUAAAUAAAUCAAAACUUUCAACAACGGAUCUCUUGGUUCUGGCAUCGAUGAAGAACGCAGCGAAAUGCGAUAAGUAAUGUGAAUUGCAGAAUUCAGUGAAUCAUCGAAUCUUUGAACGCACAUUGCGCCCGCUAGUAUUCUGGCGGGCAUGCCUGUCCGAGCGUCAUUUCAACCCUCAAGCCCCCGGGCUUGGUGUUGGGGAUCGGCGAGCCUCCGCGCCCGCCGUCCCCUAAAUCUAGUGGCGGUCUCGCUGUAGCUUCCUCUGCGUAGUAGCACACCUCGCACUGGGAAACAGCGCGGCCACGCCGUUAAACCCCCAACUUCUGAACGUUUGACCUCGGAUCAGGUAGGAAUACCCGCUGAACUUAAGCAUAUCAA
rnacentral:rRNA from 1 species